GACCGCGUAGCUCGUUGGAAGAGCAUUGGGCUGGUAUUCCAAAGGUCGUAGGUUCGAAUCCCACCGUGGCCG
rnacentral:tRNA from 1 species